CAGCCGCCGCGGUAAUACGGAGGGGGCUAGCGUUGUUCGGAAUUACUGGGCGUAAAGCGCACGUAGGCGGCUUGGUAAGUUAGAGGUGAAAGCCCGGAGCUCAACUCCGGAAUUGCCUUUAAGACUGCCGAGCUAGCAUGUGAGAGAGGUAAGUGGAAUUCCGAGUGUAGAGGUGAAAUUCGUAGAUAUUCGGAAGAACACCAGUGGCGAAGGCGGCUUACUGGCUCAUACUGGACGCUGAGGUGCGAAAGCGUGGGGAGCAAACAGGAUUAGAUACCCCAGUAGUCCCUGUCUCUUAUAA
rnacentral:rRNA from 1 species